CAGUAGCCGCGGGAAUACGAAGGGGGCUAGCGUUGUUCGGAUUUACUGGGCGUAAAGGGUGCGUAGGCGGAUUGUUAAGUCAGGGGUGAAAUCCCGAGGCUCAACCUCGGAACUGCCUUUGAUACUGGCGAUCUUGAGUCCGGGGGAGGUGAGUGGAACUGCGAGUGUAGAGGUGAAAUUCGUAGAUAUUCGCAAGAACACCGGUGGCGAAGGCGGCUCACUGGCCCGGAACUGACGCUGAGGCACGAAAGCGUGGGGAGCAAACAGGAUUAGAUACCCGGGUAGUCCCUGUCUCUUAUAC
rnacentral:rRNA from 1 species